rnacentral:rRNA from 1 species
GAUCCUGGCUCAGAUUGAACGCUGGCGGCAGGCUUAACACAUGCAAGUCGAACGGUAACAGGAGAGAGCUUGCCUUCUUGCUGACGAGUGGCGGACGGGUGAGUAAUGCUUGGGAAUCUGGCUUAUGGAGGGGGAUAACGACGGGAAACUGUCGCUAAUACCGCGUAGAGUCGAGAGACGAAAGUGCGGGACCGCAAGGCCGCAUGCCUAGAGUNAGCCACGUAGGUGGUAGUUAGGUU